CAGUUGCCGCGGUAAUACGUAGGUGGCAAGCGUUGUCCGGAAUUAUUGGGCGUAAAGGGCUCGCAGGCGGUUUCUUAAGUCUGGUGUGAAAGCCCCCGGCUCAACCGGGGAGGGUCAUUGGAAACUGGGAAACUUGAGUGCAGAAGAGGUGAGUGGAAUUCCACGUGUAGCGGUGAAAUGCGUAGAGAUGUGGAGGAACACCAGUGGCGAAGGCGACUCUCUGGUCUGUAACUGACGCUGAGGAGCGAAAGCGUGGGGAGCGAACAGGAUUAGAUACCCCCGUAGUCCCUGUCUCUUAUAA
rnacentral:rRNA from 1 species